rnacentral:lncRNA from 1 species
GAACUUUGUGUUUCCAAAUUCUUUUGGCCUAUGCCUAAGUUCCCUCCUUUUAAGGGAUUUGAUCAUCCUUUCCCUUUACCUCCACCUUUGGAGCUUCCACCGUUUCCUAAACCAUGCCCACCACCUCCGGUUCCGGUGUACGAGCCACCCCCAAAGGUGGAACUUCCACCACCUGUCCCGGUUCACGAGCCACCCCCAAAGGUAGAGGUUCCACCACCCGUCCCGGUUCACGACCCACCGCCAAAGGUGGAGCACCCACCUCCGGUUCCGGUUUACAAGCCACCUCCAAAGGUAGAGCACCCACCUCCAGUUCCGGUUUACAAGCCGCCUCCAAAGGUAGAGCACCCACCUCCGGUUCCGGUUUACAAGCCACCUCCAAAGGUAGAGCACCCCCCUCCGGUUCCGGUUUACAAGCCACCUCCAAAGGUAGAGCACCCACCUCCGGUUCCAGUACACAAGCCACCAACAAUCCCUAAGAAGCCAUGCCCGCCUAAGUCGCCGAAGAUUGAGCUUCCACCGCCAGUGCCAGUUCACAAACCACCGACUAAGAAGCCUUGUCCGCCCAUGCCACCAAAGAAAGUUGAUCCGCCACCGGUUCCAGUCCACAAGCCGCCGC